ensembl:misc_RNA 7SK 7SK RNA
GGAUGUGACGGAGAACUGGCACUCACUGAUCACCAGGGUUGAUUCGGCUGAUCUGGCUGGCUAGGCAGGUGUCCCCUUCCUCCUUCACCACUACAUAUAUUUCCCUCCUCAAGCUGCACAUUAGGUUGAAGAGGACGGCCUUCCCUGAAUAGAGGCAGACUGGUCUUCUUCGGUCAAGGGUAUACGAGUAGCUGCACUUCCCUGCUAGAACCUCCAAACAAGCUCUCAAUACAUACAGCUUUGUAAAUCAAUGGCACUUAAAUAAAAAUAACUGUUUCAAAUUUGUUAAUGCAAGGACUCUGGAUUCUAGGUCAGCCUUU